rnacentral:rRNA from 1 species
UACGUAGGUGGCAAGCGUUGUUCGGAAUUACUGGGCGUAAAGCGCGCGUAGGCGGCUUUGUAAGUUAGAGGUGAAAGCCCGGGGCUCAACCCCGGAACUGCCUUUAAGACUGCAUCGCUUGAAUCCGGGAGAGGUGAGUGGAAUUCCGAGUGUAGAGGUGAAAUUCGUAGAUAUUCGGAAGAACACCAGUGGCGAAGGCGGCUCACUGGACCGGCAUUGACGCUGAUGUGCGAAAGCGUGGGGAGCAAACAGG